CUGCCUCAUCCUCCCCUGCUUCCUCCUACCUGCAUCUGAGGUGAGUCCUUUAGAGUGACAGGUGGAAGAUGACACCAAGCAGCCCCUGUUAGCCUGGUCUGCCUCCUGCUCUCCCUCAGGGAGGCCGCCUGUCUACUCACCGCUGUGCCUUUCUGGACAGCCAGGGGGUCAAGCCUUGGCAAGCCCACAGCCCGCAGCAGACGAUGAGGGCAUUGGAGACCCAACCUCUCAUGCCGCUCAUUACCUUCGGUGAUGGUCCUAGCAGCCAUUUUUCUUCACAUCCUCUAUCACUUUCACUUGGUGCUAAUGGAUGGAAUUCCUGCACAAGUUAUAACUGGACAAGAAAUCCCAGCAAAAAAAAACAUUUUCUUUCUACUUCGUUGAUUGUGGGAAAGCAGACAUUUCUCUGAAGCAGGACCUCAUUCUUCCAAAUGGUAUUGCUAGUAAAAUCGCAUGCUGGGCUUCAGACUUCAGGGAUCCGUUCCAUGCACUGACCAAGAAUUCUAUUAAUCCUUUUUAUUUUUACGGUGUUUUACAUUUUCUCGUUCUGUAAAACGUAUUGGAGGGAAGUGGCACAAUCAUCACUCACUGUAAUCUCACCUGACAAAGGUCUAAUAUCCAGAAUCUAGUAUCUACAGAAUCUUGUUCAGUAUCCAGAAUUCAACAAGCAAGAACAAAAAAUCCAACUAACAAAUGGGUAAAGAGAUGAACGCUUUUCAAAAGAAGACAUGCAAGUGGCCAAAUCAUCAGAUAGGUGCCAAUCAAAACCGCAGUGAGUUACCACCUCUUACCUGUCACAAAGUCAGAAAUGGUGGUGAGGCUGCAGAGAGUUGAAACAGACGCUGCUGGUGGGAAAGCGAACCUGUUCAGCCGCGGUGGAAAGCAGCGUGGAGAUCUCUGCAAGAACUUAAAAUAGAACUACCAUUCCACCCAGCAAUUCCACUUAUGGGGAUAUACCCAAAGGAAAAGAAUUCAUUUUAUCAAAAAGACCCCUGCACCCAUAUGUUCAAUGCAGUGCUAUUCUCACUAGCAAGGACACAGAGUCAAUCUCAGUGCCCUGCAACAGUGAACUGAAUGAAAACAAUGUGGUGCACAGACACCAUGAAAAUCUAUCCAGCCAUGAAACAACAAAAUCAUGUCCUCUUCAGCAACACAGAUGGAACAAGAGGCUGUUAUCCUAAGCAGCCUAAUGCAAGGACAGAAAGCCACAUACUGCAUGUUCCCAUUUGAAAGUGGCAGCUAAACAUUGAAUUCACAUGAACCAGAUGCUGGAAAUCACUAGAUGGGGGAGAGGGGACGGGUACCUGGGCUGAAAACCACCUGUUGGGGACCCUGCUUACUGUUCGGGUGAUGGGAUCAUUGGGACACCAAGCCUCAGCCUCCCAAAGUCUACCCGUGUAACAGCCCUGUAUGUGUACCCUUUAAUCUAUAAUAUAGGCUGAAAUUAAAGAUGAAUAAAUAAAAAUGACAUAAGGCCAGAAAAAAAUGGGGUUAACUGACUGAGAGAACUCUGCACUAUGAACCCUAACCCAGCUCAAAAAAAUAAACUCCAAUAGUUUAAAAUAACCUCAAGUUGUGUGAUGAUAAUUGCAUAAAAGUUAUACAUGUAAGUGCCAAACCCUAAAAUUAAACAUUGCAUAAUGAAAUUACACAUGAAUCCCA